rnacentral:rRNA from 1 species
UACGGGGGGGCAAGCGUUGUUCGGAAUUACUGGGCGUAAAGGGCUCGUAGGCGGCCAACUAAGUCGGAUGUGAAAUCCCAGCUUAACCUGGGAACUGCAUCCGAUACUGGAUGGCUUGAAUCCGGGAGAGGGAUGCAGAAUUCCAGGUGUAGCGGUGAAAUGCGUAGAUAUCUGGAGGAAUACCGGUGGCGAAGGCGGCAUCCUGGACCGGCAUUGACGCUGAGUGAGCGAAAGCCAGGGAGCAACGGG